GACGAACGCUGGCGGCGUGCCUAAUACAUGCAAGUCGAGCGAACUUUCAAGAAGCUUGCUUUUUGAAAGUUAGCGGCGGACGGGUGAGUAACACGUGGGCAACCUGCCUGUAAGACGGGGAUAACUCCGGGAAACCGGGGCUAAUACCGGAUAAUAUCUUUCUUCGCAUGAAGGAAGGUUGAAAGGCGGCGCAAGCUGCCGCUUGCAGAUGGGCCCGCGGCGCGUUAGCUAGGUGGUGAGGUAACGGCUCACCAAGGCGACGAUGCGUAGCCGACCUGGGAGGGUGAUCGGCCACACUGGGACGGGGACACGGCCCAGAAUCCUACGGGAGGCAGCAGUAGGGAAUCUUCCGCAAUGGACGAAAGUCUGACGGAGCAACGCCGCGUGAGCGAAGAAGGUCUUCGGAUCGUAAAGCUCUGUUGUCAGGGAAGAACAAGUACCGUUCGAAUAGGGCGGUACCUUGACGGUACCUGACCAGAAAGCCACGGCUAACUACGUGCCAGCAGCCGCCGUAA
rnacentral:rRNA from 1 species